rnacentral:lncRNA from 1 species
GCCGGCCUAACAUUGAACUUGUCUGAUGGGCUUUGACCAAACCUCACAAAACUCCACCUGUUUGGUCGAAGUCCAUAACCCUUCAUUUGUGCCGACACCUCUUAAUGCUUGAGCAAGCUUGCUCAUCUUCUGCAUCUCAUUGUCUUCUCUUAUCUCUUCUCACUUCUCUCAGCUCCACCUUGAGCCAAUCUUGAAGUUCCUUCGUGAUCUUCUUUAAACCUACAUAAGCUUCAACUUAUACACCACAAUCGCUCAAGAAAAUUAAAACACUUAAAUCCACUUAGCCCCAUCAAUGAACAUAGACAUCACGCCUGAUGAAAGGCAUAUGUCAAUCUCAUUGCCAUUCUGAAUAUCCAUCACCUUCAUCUAUUGUCUUGAGUUGAGAACCCAGCUGCUACACUCCAAGUGUCAAGCUCAACUCCCAUUGACGACGUGUUACUUCAUAUCUUGUUACUCCUCGUGAACUUAUCAACAACACAACCUUGCUGUCAAAAUCACGAACAUGUUCAAAUGCUUGAACAGAAAACUGAACAUCUUUCUGCAAGUUGAUUUCCUCCUUGGCCUUUCGAUUCCACUCAUGUGCACUGAGCCUUGAAUCAAAUUCCUUGAAUACUGUGCAACAACCUUCGAACCACAUAUGCUUCAGACCUGAAACAACCUCUGAUUCUCUACUUGUUUAAAAC